rnacentral:ncRNA from 2 species
GUUGAUAUUGAUAUUACAGGUGCGAAUGCUCAAUAGAGAAGCCGGUGAAAGUCCGGCACGGUCCCGCCGCUGUGACGUGGAGCGUGUUUUGUUUAUACCACUGGAGGGGUCCUCUGGGAAGGUGAAACACGUGAAGAAGCGAAGCCAGAAGAACUGCCUGUAAGAUGCAUCGUCG